GAUGAACGCUGGCGGCGUGCCUAAUACAUGCAAGUCGAGCGAACAGACGAGGAGCUUGCUCCUCUGACGUUAGCGGCGGACGGGUGAGUAACACGUGGAUAACCUACCUAUAAGACUGGGAUAACUUCGGGAAACCGGAGCUAAUACCGUAUAAUAUAUUGAACCGCAUGGUUCAUUAGUGAAAGACGGUUUUGCUGUCACUUAUAGAUGGAUCCGCGCCGCAUUAGCUAGUUUGUAAGGUAACGGCUUAACAAGGCGACGAUGCGUAGCCGACCUGAGAGGGUGAUCGGCCACACUGGAACUGAGACACGGUCCAGACUCCUACGGGAGGCAGCAGUAGGGAAUCUUCCGCAAUGGGCGAAAGCCUGACGGAGCAACGCCGCGUGAGUGAUGAAGGUCUUCGGAUCGUAAAACUCUGUUAUUAGGGAAGAACAAAUGUGUAAGUAACUAUGCACGUCUUGACGGUACCUAAUCAGAAAGCCACGGCUAACUACGUG
rnacentral:rRNA from 1 species